GGGGAGUACGGCCGCAAGGUUAAAACUCAAAUGAAUUGACGGGGGCCCGCACAAGCGGUGGAGCAUGUGGUUUAAUUCGAUGCAACGCGAAGAACCUUACCUACUCUUGACAUCCACGGAAUUCGGCAGAGAUGCCUUAGUGCCUUCGGGAACCGUGAGACAGGUGCUGCAUGGCUGUCGUCAGCUCGUGUUGUGAAAUGUUGGGUUAAGUCCCGCAACGAGCGCAACCCUUAUCCUUUGUUGCCAGCGAUUCGGUCGGGAACUCAAAGGAGACUGCCGGUGAUAAACCGGAGGAAGGUGGGGAUGACGUCAAGUCAUCAUGGCCCUUACGAGUAGGGCUACACACGUGCUACAAUGGCGCAUACAAAGAGAAGCGACCUCGCGAGAGCAAGCGGACCUCACAAAGUGCGUCGUAGUCCGGAUCGGAGUCUGCAACUCGACUCCGUGAAGUCGGAAUCGCUAGUAAUCGUGGAUCAGAAUGCCACGGUGAAUACGUUCCCGGGCCUUGUACACACCGCCCGUCACACCAUGGGAGUGGGUUGCAAAAGAAGUAGGUAGCUUAACCUUCGGGAGGGCGCUACC
rnacentral:rRNA from 1 species